rnacentral:rRNA from 1 species
AGUGAACGCUGGCGGUAGGCCUAACACAUGCAAGUCGAACGGCAGCACAGUAAGAGCUUGCUCUUACGGGUGGCGAGUGGCGGACGGGUGAGGAAUACAUCGGAAUCUACUUUUUCGUGGGGGAUAACGUAGGGAAACUUACGCUAAUACCGCAUACGACCUCCGGGUGAAAGCCGGGGAUCUUCGGACCUUGCGCGAUUGAAUGAGCCGAUGUCGGAUUAGCUAGUUGGCGGGGUAAAGGCCCACCAAGGCGACGAUCCGUAGCUGGUCUGAGAGGAUGAUCAGCCACACUGGAACUGAGACACGGUCCAGACUCCGACGGGAGGCAGCAGUGGGGAAUAUUGGACAAUGGGCGCAAGCCUGAUCCAGCCAUACUGCGUGGGUGAAGAAGGCCUUCGGGUUGUAAAGCCCUUUUGUUGGGAAAGAAAAGCAGCAGGUUAAUACCCCGCUGUUCUGACGGUACCCAAAGAAUAAGCACCGGCUAACUUCGUG